rnacentral:lncRNA from 8 species
UUACUAUGGCAAACUGAUCAAGCCAAACAGAGACUUAAGAGAAGAGUACAAGCUGGAGACAACAUGGUAUAGGGAGUAGAGACCAGGGGCCCCAGGGCCCAGAAAGUGUGUCCAUCCGGGGCAGAGGCAGGAGGGAGAUCAGCACACUGAUGGAAGCCCAACACCAAGCAUUGACAGUGGUCGAGGUUUAGGCUUCAGUUACACUCCCAGGGGUUUGUGAACUUCAUGACAUUUAUCUGCUGUGCACAUUAGGCCUACAUGGAGAUAUUCAGACCCUCUAGGAGGGAAACCCCCCAUUAACACCGGCAGAGCAGAGCCCUGUGCCAGCGACGCACUCAAAUGCGCUGAACCUCACCACAGAGAAGGGCCAACAGCAAACACCAUGCAGGCCUGCACGCAGAACCCUCAGACACUUAACACUCUGACUAGCCAUUCAUACUAAACACAGACUAGGCCUACAGUAACACUUAAACAGCUUGUAAAGUAAUUGGUUAUUACAGCCACUGUAUCUGACUGUGUGUUUAUGUACAUGUGUGUGUAUCAGUGCCACCUGGUGAGGGAAGAGUGAGGCACAGCCUGCUCAACCUGCCCAUCAUCAAACCAGAGAGACUGCAGACAGCCAAAGUACUGGUGGAGAAAGCUGUAAAGGUGUUCUCCAUACUGCGUCCAAACACUGGGGUUCGGGCUGCCCUAAGGGCGAGGGGAUGGCUAGAGCAUUGUCUGCCAUGUCGAAACCAGCACUGUCACCAUGGAGAUGAGGAGGAUGAUGAUGAUGAUGCUGAUGACAAUGAACAAGAGUGGCUGGAGUUCAUCCACAAUUACUACCUGGUUGUCCAUGAUGGUGUAGAGAUAGAGGACCGUGUUCACUAUGUGGACAGCUGUCAGGCCAUGUUGCGGAGGCUUUGUGAGCCUCUCCCUCCAGUUCUGUCAGUAUGUGUAAAAACUUCAUCCAGAAGCACUUGCAGCCCUCCUAGCAGCAUCACUCAGAGGUUCCUGAGGACAACAUGUGGACGUGUGACCAGUUCCGGGCCUUCCUAUCUGGGCAGGGCCAAGCAGCACAGUGGGGGGUCUCUGGUGGUCCCGGGGAUGAAGAAGGCUGUGGUCUGCAGACUGCUCAAGACCUGGUGGAGUCAAGCAGAGGCAGCUUCGAACUCUACGGAGCCAACUUCAUGCUAG